ACGGGAGGCAGCAGUGGGGAAUAUUGCACAAUGGGCGAAAGCCUGAUGCAGCGACGCCGCGUGAGCGAAGAAGUAUUUCGGUAUGUAAAGCUCUAUCAGUAGGGAAGAUAAUGACGGUACCUGACUAAGAAGCACCGGCUAAAUACGUGUCAGCAGCCGCGGUAAUACGUAUGGUGCAAGCGUUAUCCGGAUUUACUGGGUGUAAAGGGAGCGUAGGCGGUUUUACAAGUCUGAUGUGAAAGCCCGGGGCUCAACUCCGGUAUUGCAUUGGAAACUGUAGAACUAGAGUGUCGGAGGGGUAAGUGGAAUUCCUAGUGUAGCGGUGAAAUGCGUAGAUAUUAGGAGGAACACCAGUGGCGAAGGCGGCUUACUGGACGAUUACUGACGCUGAGGCUCGAAAGCGUGGGGAGCAAACAGGAUUAGAUACCCUGGUA
rnacentral:rRNA from 1 species